rnacentral:tRNA from 1 species
CUUAGCUCAGUUGGUGGAGCACUCGGCUGUUAAAGGAAAUUUAAAUUUUCUGCAGUAACCGAGCGGUCACCGGUUCGAGUCCGGUAG